rnacentral:rRNA from 1 species
ACUGGGCGUAAAGGGCUCGUAGGCGGCCAACUAAGUCCGACGUGAAAUCCCCAGGCUCAACCUGGGAACUGCGUCCGAUACUGGAUGGCUUGAAUCCGGGAGAGGGAUGCAGAAUUCCAGGUGUAGCGGUGAAAUGCGUAGAUAUCUGGAGGAAUACCGGUGGCGAAGGCGGCAUCCUGGACCGGCAUUGACGCUGAGGAGCGAAAGCCAGGGGAGCAAACGGGAUUAGAUACCCCGGUAGUCCUGGCCCUAAACGAUGAAUGCUUGGUGUGACGGGUAUCGAUCCCUGUCGUGCCGAAGCUAACGCAUUAAGCAUUCCGCCUGGGGAGUACGGUCGUAAGGCUGAAACUCAAAGGAAUUGACGGGGGCCCGCACAAGCGGUGGAGCAUGUGGUUCAAUUCGACGCAACGCGAAGAACCUUACCCAGGCUCGAACGGCAAUUGACAUCCGGCGAAAGCCGGCUCCCGCAAGGGCAGUUGUCGAGGUGCUGCAUGGCUGUCGUCAGCUCGUGUCGUGAGAUGUUGGGUUAAGUCCCGCAACGAGCGCAACCCUUGUCCGCUGUUGCCAUCAGGUUAUGCUGGGCACUCUGCGGAGACUGCCGGUGAUAAACCGGAGGAAGGUGGGGAUGACGUCAAGUCAGCAUGGCCUUUAUGUCUGGGGCUACACACGUGCUACAAUGGCCGGUACAAACCGUCGCGAUCUCGCAAGAGGGAGCUAAUCGGAGAAAGCCGGUCUCAGUUCGGAUUGCAGGCUGCAACUCGCCUGCAUGAAGUUGGAAUCGCUAGUAAUCGCGGAUCAGCACGCCGCGGUGAAUACGUUCCCGGGCCUUGUACACACCGCCCGUCACAUCACGAAAGCCGGCUGUACUAGAAGUCGCUGAGCCAACCCGCAAGGGAGGCAGGCGCCUAAGGUAUGGUCGGUGAUUGGGGUGAAGUCGUAACAAGGUAACCA